GUCGUCUAGUGAAGAAGUUGGGCAGCUGCCGUCUAAUGAAAUAGUGACAAAUUUUGUGUUGGUUUCUCCUAAUAAUCAGUUAUUUCUUCUGAUUAACUAGUUUACUAACAAAGUUUUGACUGAAGCUGUUAUACAAGUGUGUCCUCGUUAUGUCUCACAACUCUCACGUGGUCUCAUCCCAUUGCCUCGACAAACUGGAUCGGGUCUUCUAGAAUCUAUCGGGCCCCCACUUUUAAUCCAGGUGUAUGUUUCGUGUACACAUCCCUCUCGAGAGCAAUGCGAUACGUCCACUGAGAAGUUUGUCGAUACAUUGGCCAACACCUGACGUCAUCAUUUUUCUCUGGGGGUCGACAUUUCGUAUUGAGGGGAUCGACUGGAGCCAAAUGUCAAACUCGGACUUUGUAGUGUAGCAGGGAAUAACGUGAAGACGUUGAAAGUUUCACACGACACUUUCACGCUUGUUGGCAGCGGCUGAACUACUUGACGUCUCCCUUCGAAGAAAAUCGUGCGAUUGGCGAAAGGCUUUGGGCAUCGUGUCGCUCCACGUGACGUGCGGUUUUUUCGUUUCCGUCGCGGCUGCCGCUCCAGCAAGUGUCGAAGAGGAUCCCAUGCCGAAGCCUUUGUACGACCGUGGUAGGGUGGCCGGUCCAAAAUCGCACGACCCUGUGAAGAAUUAAGAAACAAAAAACACGACCCUUUCGUUAAUUGGUUUCGACGUGAAAAGAGAACUAUCUGUCGUGUACGGAGGUGUGAUGAGUCCGGCUUCAAUCGACUGCUGAUGCGUCAUCAUCAUGUUCGGCGGAGGCGGGGGAGGAGGCAGCGAUGG